GAUGAACGCUAGCGGGAGGCCUAACACAUGCAAGCCGAGCGGUAGAGUUUCUUCGGAAACUUGAUAGCGGCGCACGGGUGCGUAACACGUGUGCAACCUACCUUUAUCUGGGGGAUAGCCUUUCGAAAGGAAGAUUAAUACCCCAUAAUAUAAUGAUUGGCAUCAAUUAUUAUUGAAAACUCCGGUGGAUAGAGAUGGGCACGCGCAAGAUUAGAUAGUUGGUGAGGUAACGGCUCACCAAGUCAAUGAUCUUUAGGGGUCAUGAGAGGGAGAUCCCCCACACUGGUACUGAGACACGGACCAGAAUCCUACGCGAGGCAGCAGUGAGGAAUAUUGAACAAUGAGGGAGAGCCUGAUACAGCCAUCCCGCGUGAAGGAGGACGGUCCUAUGGAUUGUAAACUUCUUUUGUACAGGGAUAAACCUACCAUCGUGAGGGUAGCUGAAGGUACUGAAUGAAUAAGCACCGGCUAACUCCGUG
rnacentral:rRNA from 1 species